rnacentral:lncRNA from 1 species
UUUUUUCUUUUUUUUUUUCAUUUGAAAAACUGAAAAUUAUAAAGCCUGAUUAUUUCUUUCAAUGGCUAUGUUAUUUUUAUGGCUGAGAUAGCAGGCAACAAGGGUCCAGAUAAGGAAAAAAAAUCAGUAUGUUCAAUUGUUCAGGAUAAAGUUUACUGGCUAAAAAUAUUUUAGCUAGUUCAAAGAAACAAGUCUAUUAAAAUUCACUUUUAUAUCUGUAAUGAGCGCGAAGCCAACAGUAUUUCCUGGCAGAACCUGCUCAGCUUCGGCUCUGUUCUAAAUCUGUCUACUGAAUAAUGGCAGCAGGGGUUUCUGCUCUCACAAACUGAGGGAUCAUAGCGAAAACCAAGAGACGUGCCUUGGAAGGCUUGGAAUCCAGAAUCUCUCUCUGGUGCCAAAUCAUAUAUAUUCAUGGGAACCGAGAGGACGUGAGGAGGGAGCACGGAAGCUAACAAGACAUAAGGCUAGAGGAAAGACGGUCUGUCCACGGCGUUCAUUCUUUAUGGUGCAGCCCUAUCUCACAGGUUAGAAAGAGGUUCAUUCCUAACAGAGCUGAAGGUAUGUCAAGCGUUUUCCAUUUUUCCUUUUUGUUAUUGUUUUUUUUUUAAUCUCUAUGGAAAGCUCCUUUGAUAUUUGAAGAAACUGAGGCACAUGAAUGUAUAUCAGGAGCUCAACACUAAACUCAAAAUCCGAGAUCCGUUUGUUUUUAUGUGCCUUGCUUUCUGUACGACGGCCUUCUUUUUAUAUGAUCAUAAUUUACGAAGUGCCUCUGAGUAGCUACAUGUAGCCCAGAUAAUAAUGGUGGCAUAAAUUUAUAAGUAUUAACAUUCAAAUUGCAAAUAUAUAAUUCUUUUCAUGUAAAGUUUAGUAAUGUGAUAAAAUCAAUUAAGCUGACUUUGGCGCUCCCAUGACACUCGGUCCUAAUUUACAUUUUCUCAAGAAUGUUUUCUAAAACAAAACAAGGCUUAGUUUUCUUUAUAGUAAAGAAAAAUCCAAUCAUUUGUAUAGGGAUGAUUAAUAAAUCAGUUAUAAAAUAAAUUCCAAUACCGAAUUUAUUUGACACUAACAUGGUUUAUUAAGCUGAAUACGAAAGAAUUAAAAAUGUUAUCAUUCAGUUUAGUGCCAGGAAAGUCGCAGUGAACUUUUAGGAAACUCUAGUGUCAUUCACAUUGUGACUUUGGGAUUUCACUUUAACUCCUCUGCUGAUAUUCUUACACCAUCAAGAUGUCAACGCAUCUAUUCAGUUUUUCUGAGUGUAAGCCCCGGUGUGAUGUGCACAUAGUCUGCAUACACACAUCCGUAGGGACUUUAAAUCCAGAACUCCUGGAUUCACAUUCCCAUGUUUCUGUUCAUUCGUGGCAUAAUGCUGACUGUGCAAGUAGAUCGUUUUAGCUCUUCAGAUCCUCCAUCCCUAAAUCUAAGAAGAUAGGUAUAUGUACCCCUUUAUGGCUCGACCAGCUCUUCAGCUGACAAAUUAACAUAAACAGAGAACAGGAAAGUGGCUGGUAAAAGCCAUGUGGAAACUACUGUUGGCUGUUAUUACAACUAGAUGCAAUUUUAAUGUGAUAGUAUUUUCAAUCCUAUUUCUUCUUGAAAAAAAUUACACGUAUCUCAGAAAGGUUAAUUCUUAAAAGAAAAUUUUCUCGCCAAUCACAGCAUUUUCCUCUGCACAUCACUCAGACUUUUGUUUAAGACACUGUUUAAGCUGGCAGAUGGAAAUGGUACACACCAGACUUUCCAGGGCACUUAAAACUUUCACCACAGAGUGUGACACUUUCACUCUGUCAACUUAAAAAUAUAUAGCUUAAAAAGAUGAAUUUGUGGCCACAAAUUAUGUGUGAAUGCUUAUAAGUUAAGUAAAAGAUAAACUACACUUUUACUCAAAUUUAAGAUGGAAAUGGUAGAGCGUCUUUAAUUUUUUAAUUAUAUUUUGGCAAAUCUCUGUUAAUAUGAUUUGUAUUAUCAUACAGUGUGGCGUAACUGCACACUCUUCUAAUUCAUAUCUAAUCACACUCCUGAGGUAGUACAUCUCCAAACAGAGUUCCACUUACGCUUACUAAUUAUACCUAUAAAGCGAUGAAUGAUGGCUACAAAUUAUUGGAUCUGACUCUCAUUCUUUAUUUAUUUCUCCCUAGGAGAAAGAGCAGUAGAUGGGGAGAUUUCAGUCCAUAAAUUAUUCCCAUAUGUAUUCAGGUGUACUGUGUCUAACUGUGAUUCCACACUAUGGUUCUACACUUAAUUCUGACGCCCAUGAAGUCAUGGUGGUAGAACUAAGAGGUAGAUGUUUGCUCCUCAUCAUAAAAUAUUAGCUUGUAUUAAUAAUGAUAAUGUCUUCAUUUUUAAUGGUGUGCGAUGGUUAAUACAGUUUUAGACCUAUCUGAAUGUGAGUUAUAGUCAUGACUGGCUUUAUAUAAAUAAGUAGCUCCACCAAAGCUUUAUACACUUGCCCAGUCUAGGCCUGCUUACCCCGUGUUGUUAGUAAUAAAAUGAGUUUCAUAGGUGAGUAGAAAUCAGGGACAACCUGAGAUGGCAGCACAUAGCUCUUCUAAACUAACAGAGGACAGGUCACAUGUGAGUUUUGCCUCCUAGGUGUUACUGUCAGCCCAACAGUGGCAUAUAUUUUCUAAGGGAACUCAGAAAUACAAAUUCCUUUAAAAUGUUGCAUUGUAGGAUCCUGUACAAGAUGUGAGUUAGUGUAUUCUAUGAAAAUUGU